rnacentral:lncRNA from 1 species
UUUUUUUUUUUUUUUUUUUUUUUUUUUUAAGCCUGUAACCUCUGAAUCAAUGACUGAACUCAAUUCUCAUAAAAUCCUCUUUCAGCGGCUCCAACAAGCAGUUCCAUGGGAUUUUAUAAAGAUUUCAGUGUCAGAUAAAAAGCACCGCCUGUAUUAGGCUUGAAUCCAGUUGUCUUUCUUUACCAGUAACAGUACACCCACCUCCUCUUUCUUUGAGUUUUCUUAUUAAUAAGGAAAAAUGGGAAAGAAAACCAGGUAAUCAGGAAGGAAUCUUAAAGAGACAGUCUGGUUCAGUUUCUUCAAACUACUAAAGAAAAUGCAGGAAUGGAAAUACCAAAAGAGCAGUGUGGGCUGUUUAAAAAAUACUCGGCUUUUGCUUUGAUUUUUUUUAAAAAAACCUCAAAUAUAAAAAAUGAAUCUGUUUAAUCAUGAGUGGAAACAAAUCAGACUAGGAACCAUGAGGUUGUGGGUUCGAUCCCUGACCGUACUCAGUGGGUUAAGGAUCCAGCGUUGCUGUGAGCUGUGGUGUAAAUCACAGACACAGCUCGGAUCCUGUGUUGCUGUGGCUGUGGCGUAGGCCGGCAGCUACAGCUCUGAUUAGACCCCUAGCCUGGGAACUUUCAUAUGUUGAGGGUGUGGGCCCUAAAAGUUCAAAAGACAAAAGAAAAGAAAAAAGAAAAAAUUUUCUUUGUGCCAAAAGGAUAAAGAUCCCUGGAUGUAAAGAAUCAUCCAGAGAAGUUCUAAAAUCCAUUUUCCAGAUUUUUUCAGAGAAGCAAGUUCUUCCCUUAAUAUCAUCACAAUGGCUGUUCUUUCCGGGGAACACACUUCAGUCUGGAGCACAAAGGACACAUACACUGUAGCUGCCCAUUGUGGAUGGAAAGUAUUUAGGAACUGCUUUCAGUUUUUGCUUUUUCCUGAAAUUCUGAAUACAAAUGGAGAAGCACUGUCUAUGCCUCCAUAACUGUUUUUGAAAGGUCCCCCCAGGACUCCAGGACUGACAGUCCAAGUCCCCACUCCCCUGCCUCUGGUUCCUAUGAAGGUCCUCACCAAGACCACAUCUCCCCCAGUUCUGACCUGCUCAUGGUGGGGUGAGCAGUGACAGGGAUGAGCCUGGGAUGGAGAGAGCACUCUGGAAGCUCCCUGCUGCUCCCAGGAUUACAGGGAGCAGGGAGUCAGGGAGGUUGAUGUGGGCCCCAUGCACCCAAGCAGGCAACGCAGAGAAACAGCACUGGGCCCCCUCUGCAGAGUCUGCUCUCAGCGUCCUAGGUUCCCUCCCUCAGGAUGUUCAGGUGCCAGCAACACUGCUUCCUACUCACUUGAGGGAAGAAGGGUGUAAGCUUUCUGCACUUGAAUAGGUGACUUCAAGGAAUCAAACCAAUGGAUUUUCUCCACUUCCAAAGCCAGUUUGACACUGUGAAGAAAAAUGGUUCUUGGCUGGAGAGGGUAAGAUUUUGAGUAUCUUCUCCUGACACUCAUUAGCCCAUGGCAUAUAAGUGAACAAACCUGUUUCUGAACUAAUACUAUCCUUCAAAUUAGGGACACGACACUAGGAGAAAUAUCUGCCAGCUCUAUUCUGUAUAUAUUUACUAUGUUAUAGUUUGGGGAAUCCUUUUGAGUGUGCAGUAGGAAAAAGUGGAAAAAAUAUUUGACGAGAAUAUCAUUCAGUUCAACAAAUAUUCAUUAAAAAAAAAAGGACUAUGGAAUUCCUGUCAUGGCGCAGUGGUUAACGAAUCCGACUAGGAACUAUGAGGUUGUGGGUUUGAUCCCUGGCCUUGCUCAGUGGGUUAAGGAUCCGGCAUUGCCGUGAGCUGUGGUGUAGGUUGCAGACACAGUUCGGAUCCCAUGUUGCUGUGGCUCUGGUGUAGACCAGCGG